GCAAGAGGGAGGAAUCGUAGUGAGUGUUCUUAUGGUAAGUUAAGAAUACGUAGCAAUUAUAGGAAGCUUUCUGCGGCAAUUUACAAGUAAGUAGCGAUUAUGAUAAGGAUUCAAUGGCAAGUUAUGAAUAUGUAUAAAUAAUAGUAAGUCUUUUGGGGCAAAUUUAAAGCAUGUACCAAUUAUAGGAAGCUCUCUUUGGGAAAUUAAUAAGGAUUCAAUGGCAAGUUAUGAAUAUGUAUAAAUAAUAGUAAGUCUUUUGGGGCAAAUUUAAAGUAUGUAGCAAUUAUAGGAAGUUCUCUGUGGCAAAUUAAUAAGGAUUCAAUGGCAAGUUAAGAAUAUGUAGAGAUAAUUGCAAGUCUUUUGGGGCAAAUUUAAAGCAUGUAGCAAUUAUAGGAAGCUCUCUUUGGGAAAUUAAUAAGGAUUCAAUGGCAAGUUAAGAAUAUGUAUAAAUAAUAGCAAGUCUUUUGGGGCAAAUUUAAAGCAUGUAGCAAUUAUAGGAAGCUCUCUGUGGGAAAUUGACACCAUAUCAUUUGUCCAUUAUCAAACUACUAAAGAAAUUCAGACAUGUAUUUUAUUCAAAGGGAGGGAAUGAGAGUUUUAAGUGGCAAAUUGAGACUAUAUCAUUUGUUUAUCAUCUAUCUACUAAAGAGAGGCAGACAUGUAGUUUAUUAAAAGGAACUUAGGUAUCUAUUAUUAGGGGCGUAUGGGGGUAACCAGGAAUAGUGGAGUUAACAGGAAUUCUGAAGCCGCAUAGAGGGUUACUUAGACAUAUUGUAGGAUCAGAUCUAUGGUGGGUAUUAGGGCAAGAGAGGAGAGGGAGAGAGAGAGGGACAUAUUUAACCUUACUGAAGACACGGUAGGAGAUAUUUUUACCUUACUGAAGAGAGAAAAAACAUAUAACAUUAGAUCUAUGGUGGGUAUUAGGGCAAGAGAGAGGGGGGGAGAGAGGGAGGGAGAGAGAGAGAGAGAUAACCUUACUAAAGAGAGAUUGAGAUAUUUUUACCUUUCCGAAGAGAAAAACAUAUAACAUUAGAUCUAUGGUGGGUAUUAGGGCAAGAGAGAGAGAGAGAGAGAGAGAGAGAGAGAGAGAGAGAGAGAGAGAGAGAGAGAGAGAGAGAGAGAGAGAGAGAGAGAGAGAGA